UUAAUUUUCAGAAUUAACUAGUUAUUUUUUCUCAUUGCGAACGAAUUUUUUAUUUAUUUUUCCUUCAUUGAUGAGUUGUAGGAGUAUGAAAAAACAUGUAAAAGUAAAAUCCUUGACCAAAUUUCGUUAUUAUUGUGAGGGAAAUAUCAAGUAAUUGCCUGCAUAUUUCCUUGAAUUAAAUCUCACCACAGUUUUACCAAGAAAGCAACCAUCCAAUCAGAAGAAAGCACUCAUUGAAAAGCAAAAGAAUCAUGUUGCUUUCUUCUUGUUGGUUUCUUGGCUGAUCUUGCUGGUCUUACAAAUUCUCUGGCUCUGUAAUUUUUCGGUGUUGAGGUAACACUAAGCUAAACUUGUUGGCUUGCUUCGUCCACAUUUCUGUUUUGUUCAAGUAACAUUAACUAAAGCAUUGUUUUAGAUGGCAUUAUAUUUUUGUUUUAAAUGUUGAAAUUCGUAGUUUUGUUCCUUCUAAUGUUUACUUUAUAUGUUGAAUUCCUCUGUUUCUCUCUGUUGAAAUACAAAACAUAUAUAAUUUUCCCAGCUCUCUCUGUUUCUCUCUUGUUGUUUCCUUUUCUUUGCUCUGAAACUUGUUUCCUCAACGUCCUUAUUUCUCCUCUGGUUUAAAUUUUAAUCCUUUUCUUUUUUGCCGUUUCUCAUCAUCUUUCUAUUAGCAAAAGGCUUAUUUUCAUUGAGUGUUUUCAGCAGCAGCAGAUUGCCUAAUGGCAUUGAGCACAAAAAGAGACGCUACCUUUCUUUCUUCACCUGAUCAGUCGGCUCCUCAACAGAACAACGAUGUGUUUUUGAGUUUCAGGGGUGUAGACACUCGAAAUAGCUUUGUAUCCCAUUUAUACCACGAAUUGCAGUUCAGGGGCAUUAAAACAUUCAAGGACGAUCCUAAGCUUGAAAGAGGGACACCUAUUUCUUCAGAGCUCUUCAAUGCAAUCGAAGAAUCAAGGCUUGCAAUCGUUGUUCUCUCCCCAAAUUAUGCGUCUUCUUCCUGGUGCUUGGAUGAACUUACAAAGAUUCUCCAGUGCAUGAAAUCCAAGAGCACCGUUCUGCCAGUGUUUUAUCAUGUGGAUCCUUCCGACGUACGAAAACAAACUGGUAGUUUUGCGUGCGCGUUCGCUGAUCAUGAGGAAAGGUUUAGGGAAGACAGAGAAAGGGUCAAGAGCUGGAGAACUGCUUUAACUGAAGUGGCCAAUUUAUCUGGGUUUGAUUCAAAGAAUGAGUGUGAAAGAAAGCUUAUUGAAAAUAUUGUUGAAUGGGUGUGGGAGAAAGUGCGUCACAGAUUCAAAUUGUUAGAUUCCAAAGAGUUAGUGGGAAUGAAGUUUAUACGUGAGCAAGUAGAUUUGCUUUUAGCUCAUCCUACGGAUGAUGUUCGCUUUAUAGGGCUAUGGGGGAUGGGCGGAAUUGGCAAAACAACCAUUGCUCAGCUAGUUUAUGAUAGCAUUUCUACCCAUUUUGAAGUUAGCAGCUUUCUUGCUAAUGUUAGAGAGGUUUCUCAACGUGGUAAUCUUGUUGAUCUGCAAAGACAACUUCUUUCCCCAAUCUUAAAGGAUCAAUUUACUCAAGUUUGGGAUGAACAGUGGGGAACCUCUGUCAUUAAGAAUUGCUUGUAUAAUAAAAAGGUUCUUCUCAUUCUUGAUGAUGUGAGUGAAUCAAGCCAACUUGAAAAGUUGGCUGGUGAAAAGGAUUGGUUUGGUAAGGGGAGUAUAAUCAUUAUUACAACUAGAGAUAGACGGUUGCUAGUUAAACAUGAUAUACAUAUAUCAUGUAACGUAGAGGCGUUAGGUAAUGAUGAUGCUCUUGAGCUCUUCAGUUGGAACGCCUUUAAAAAAAAUGAGCCGGAGGAAGGUUAUUUGGAAUUGUCAAAGGGUUUUGUAAAUUAUGCCAGAGGACUUCCACUAGCUCUUAAACUUUUGGGAUGCUUAGUGUAUAAGAGAGAUCAAUAUGAAUGGAAAAGUGAAUUGGAUAAGCUGCGGAAAAUUCCUAAGUCAGAAAUUAUUGAUUUGCUCAAAAUAAGUUACGAUGGACUGGAUGAGAUGAAUAAGGAUAUAUUUCUUGAUGUUGCAUUUUUUCACAAGGGGAUGUUCAAGGAGUGUGUAAUUGAAAUACUAGACUGUUGUGGCCUAUGUGGUCAUAUUGGGAUAAAUGCUCUUGUUCAGAAAUCACUUUUAACUAUUGAUAUUUCAAAUAACACGGUUGAGAUGCAUGAUUUGAUACAAGAAAUGGCAUUGGAAAUUGUUCGUCGGGAGUGUUCUGAAGAGCCUGGUAGACGAAGUCGAUUGUGCAAUCGUGAUGAUAUCUCUCAUGUAUUCAUAAACAAUACGGCAACAUACAAAAUUAAAGGCAUUGCCUUACGCAUGGCGAGACUUGAAAUGGCAGAUUGGAAUUGUGAAGCCUUCUCUAAGAUGUGUAACCUGAAAGUUCUUGAAUUUGAUAAUGUGAUCAUUUCUUCAAGCCCCAGAAUUCUUCCUAAUUCCUUGAGAAUUAUCAAAUGGAGUCGGUAUCCUUCCAAAUUUCUCCCAUCAAGUUUUCAACCGAAUUUCCUUAUUGCACUUAAGAUGCGUGAGAGCAAACUUGUUCGGCUUUGGGAUGGAAGAAAGGACUUGCCCAACUUGAAAAAAAUGAAGCUUUUUGGCUCUAAAAACUUGACCACAACCCCAGAUUUCAGUGGCGUUCCGAAUCUUGAGUUGUUGGAUUUUCAAUUUUGUAAGAAUUUGGUUGAGAUUCACCCGUCAAUUGCAAAUCUCAAAUGUCUUAAAAGCUUGGAUCUUGGUUAUUGCUCAAAAUUGAAAAAGAUUCCAGAAUUUUCAAGGCAAAUGAAAAAUUUGUCAACGCUUAAUUUAAGCGGGAUGUCCAUUGGGAAAUUAUCUUCAUCAAUCGGAUGUCUGGUUGGCCUUACUGAUCUGUCACUACAGAAUUGCAACAAUCUCACGGGUCUUCCGAGUGAAAUUUGUAAUUUGAAAUCUCUUACAGAGCUCGAGGUGAGUGGAUGCUCAAAAAUUGACAAACUCCCAGAGAACAUGGGGGAGAUGGAGUGUUUACUUAGGCUUCAUCUGAAUGGAACUGCUAUAAGACAGCUGCCACGCUGCAUUGUUGGUUUGAAAAAACUGAGGGAUCUAUCUUUGGGUGGAAGAAGUGGAUCACAGCCUAAUAAAUCAAGGUUUUGGUGGGGCCUCCCCCGCUUAAAUGGAAGAAAGGCAUUUGUGUUGGCUUCGCUUGAUGGUUUAUUCUCUUUGAAGUAUUUGGAUCUAAGUAAUUGUGGCGUUUGUGAAGGGGAUCUUCCCAGUGAUAUUGGUUGCUUCUCCUCUUUAGAAAAAUUAAGUCUUAGUGGAAACAAUUUUGUUAGCCUUCCUGCAAGCAUUGGAUGUCUUUCUAAGCUCAAGUUAUUUUGGGUGAAUGGGUGCCAAAGUCUUGAACAAUUGCCAGAUCUUUCUAAGCUUAUCUCAUUGGUGGAUAUAAACAUAGCCAAUUGCACUUCCUUAAAAAUGUUACCGCAUCUUUCGUCAAAUUGCUCAUUAAACAACGGAAUACAUUUUAAUUGUGCCAAUUGCUUUGUAUUGGUUGACAAUGAAGGCUGCGACAGUAUAAUACUGAAAAUGCUACAGCGAUACCUUCAGCCUCGGGUACUCCGUUUUAUUAGGCCUCUUUAUGGAUUCACAAUUUUAACUCCUGGAACGAAAAUUCCAGAGUGGUUCAGUAAUCAAAGUUUGGGAGAUUCCCUAACUGUGGAGCUACCUUUGGAUUCAUGUACCACGUGGAUCGGAAUUGCUUUAUGUGCUGUGUUUGAAGUUCCGGCUCAUCAUUCCGAAUUUCAACGUUUUAUAAUUAGCUGUUCCCCACUGCGACCUGAAUUAUUUUCAAACAUUUUUAAAAUAGGCGAUGUUGUGUCAGAUCACCUUUGGGUAAUUUGUGUAUCUCGUAAACAAUUUCAGAAGAUAUGCGGUGAGAUAAAGCUUUUGUUCACAACUUAUUAUUGUUCUCAAGGCCAGGAAAAAUCUUGUGCGAGUGUGAAGAAGUGUGGGUUUCGUUUGGUACACGAGCAAGAUGUGGAACAACUCAACCAGAUGAUGAUGAAGAAAUCCAUCAUCAAGAGCACUACUACUUGUCCUACCAAAUCAGCUGAUGCACAAGGUCAACAACGCCACGAUGACGAGGACGCUGGUCCCAGUGGAAGUGGUAGCUCUCACCAAAAAUCUCUCUUCUGCAAUACCUAUGCUCUUUCCAAAGGGUUUUUAACAAAACUUGUAAAGAUUUUCUCCCUCUUUUUAACAACUGCAGUUUUUAUGAAAUCUUUCAACAAUACCAAAAAAUGGGGGUGCAUGGGACUUUUGAUUUGGAGAGUAACCACUUUGAUUUUUUACUUAGGCCUUGCACCCUCAUAUUUUGAGUUAUUAUUGCAAGGUUUAAUAAAAACUGUCAUUCUUAAAAGAGGAGCUAAAUUUUUGCUAGCUUUGUUAAAAACUCCUCCUCCUCAAAUGUCUGCACAUAAAUACUUGAAAGGCCAAAAACGCUCUUCUCACAAUUGAUAGUAAGCAUUGAUUAACUCAUGUCGCUGCGUAUUAUAUCCAGAUGAUGAUGAACAAAUCCAUCAUCAAGAGCACUACUACUUGUCCUACCAAAUCAGCUGACGCACAAGGUCAACAACACCACGAUGACGAGGAGGCUAGUCCUAGGGGAAGUGGUAGCUCUCACCAAAAAUCUCUCUUCUGCAAUACCUAUGCUCUUUCCAAAGGGUUUUUAACAAAACUUGUAAAGAUUUUCUCCCUCUUUUUAACAACUGCAGUUUUUAUGAAAUCUUUCAACAAUACCAAAAAAUGGGGGUGCAUGGGACUUUUGAUUUGGAGAGUAACCACUUUGAUUUUUUACUUAGGCCUUGCACCCUCAUAUUUUGAGUUAUUAUUGCAAGGUUUAAUAAAAACUGUCAUUCUUAAAAGAGGAGCUAAAUUUUUGCUAGCUUUGUUAAAAACUCCUCCUCCUCAAAUGUCUGCACAUAAAUACUUGAAAGGCCAAAAACGCUCUUCUCACAAUUGAUAGUAAGCAUUGAUUAACUCAUGUCGCUGCGUAUUAUAUCCAGAUGAUGAUGAACAAAUCCAUCAUCAAGAGCACUACUACUUCUCCUACCAAAUCAGCUGACGCACAAGGUCAACAACACCACGAUGACGAGGAGGCUAGUCCUAGUGGAAGUGGUAGCUCUCACCAAAAAUCUCUCUUCUGCAAUACCUAUGCUCUUUCCGAAGAGGUAGACCAAGAUGAAUUAAAUGAUGAUGAUGAUUUUGUUGACGAAGCUCGGCCCAGAAAAAGAAAAAAGAUCGAUGUGUUUGGGACUGACCUAUGAUUCCUCAAUUUCAAAGCAAGAGGCAUCACAGCUGCUGCAUUUCAAUUCAAUUACAUACUAACAAGACUAGUGUUGUUGAAGCCAGCCAAUUGUGUCCUGUAGUCAACUGAAAUUUGGGUUCUUGAUGUCACGGCCGAUACUGGGCACACUGCUAAUGUGCAACUCGAAAUGAUCGAAAGUAUUUGCGUGCUUAUUGGCCAGGAUGGAAUAAGCCAACAAGAAUUCUCAAUCAGACGUGUAAACAUUGGCAUUGAUCUGAUCUAAAACCGAUCAAUUGCUUUGUCGGAAUUCCUCCCUUGUCUGUUUCAUUGAUCAUAUCUUUGACAGUUUGUGCAAUCUCUUAUUCAAUUAUGCAAACUUCUCUUAUAUAUCAUCUCUUCAGUUUCAAAUUAUGCAACAGAAUGAAAUUCAUGAGAGGUUCAUUAACAUCACAAUAAGUUUAGUAGAAUUUGGUAGUGCUAGUUGUAUGUUGAAUAAAAUAUUCGGAGAAUUGGAGUUAUGAA